GACGAACGCUGGCGGCGUGCUUAACACAUGCAAGUCGAACGGAAAGGCCCUGCUUUUGUGGGGUGCUCGAUUGGCGAACGGGUGAGUAACACGUGAGUAACCUGCCCUUGACUUUGGGAUAACUUCAGGAAACUGGGGCUAAUACCGGAUAGGAGCUCCUGCUGCAUGGUGGGGGUUGGAAAGUUUCGGCGGUUGGGGAUGGACUCGCGGCUUAUCAGCUUGUUGGUGGGGUAGUGGCUUACCAAGGCUUUGACGGGUAGCCGGCCUGAGAGGGUGACCGGCCACAUUGGGACUGAGAUACGGACCAGACUCCUACGGGAGGCAGCAGUGGGGAAUAUUGCACAAUGGGCGGAAGCCUGAUGCAGCAACGCCGCGUGCGGGAUGACGGGCUUCGGGUUGUAAACCGCUUUCGACUGUGACGAAGAGUGAGUGACGGUAAUGGGUAAAGAAGCAACGGCUAACUACGUG
rnacentral:rRNA from 1 species